AUUUCUCCCCUGGGACUAAUCCUCAAGCUACGCUUAUGAUGCUCGGAAGAUAUAUGGGACGAAAGAUUUUAGAAAGUAGAGGAAAAUGAUCCAAUCUACUCUGACCCAAGCUUGCACAAUAAUUACAUUUUGGAAGAAAA